UACGUAGGUGGCAAGCGUUAUCCGGAAUUAUUGGGCGUAAAGCGCGCGCAGGUGGCUUCUUAAGUCUGAUGUGAAAGCCCACGGCUCAACCGUGGAGGGUCAUUGGAAACUGGGAGACUUGAGUGCAGAAGAGGAAAGUGGAAUUCCAUGUGUAGCGGUGAAAUGCGUAGAGAUAUGGAGGAACACCAGUGGCGAAGGCGACUUUCUGGACUGUAACUGACGCUGAGGCGCGAAAGCGUGGGGAGCAAACAGG
rnacentral:rRNA from 1 species